AAAUUGAAGAGUUUGAUCAUGGCUCAGAUUGAACGCUGGCGGCAGGCCUAACACAUGCAAGUCGAGCGGUAGCACAGAGAGCUUGCUCUCGGGUGACGAGCGGCGGACGGGUGAGUAAUGUCUGGGAAACUGCCUGAUGGAGGGGGAUAACUACUGGAAACGGUAGCUAAUACCGCAUAAUGUCGCAAGACCAAAGUGGGGGACCUUCGGGCCUCAUGCCAUCAGAUGUGCCCAGAUGGGAUUAGCUAGUAGGUGGGGUAACGGCUCACCUAGGCGACGAUCCCUAGCUGGUCUGAGAGGAUGACCAGCCACACUGGAACUGAGACACGGUCCAGACUCCUACGGGAGGCAGCAGUGGGGAAUAUUGCACAAUGGGCGCAAGCCUGAUGCAGCCAUGCCGCGUGUGUGAAGAAGGCCUUCGGGUUGUAAAGCACUUUCAGCGGGGAGGAAGGCGAUAAGGUUAAUAACCUUGGCGAUUGACGUUACCCGCAGAAGAAGCACCGGCUAACUCCGUGCCAGCAGCCGCGGUAAUACGGAGGGUGCAAGCGUUAAUCGGAAUUACUGGGCGUAAAGCGCACGCAGGCGGUCUGUCAAGUCGGAUGUGAAAUCCCCGGGCUCAACCUGGGAACUGCAUUCGAAACUGGCAGGCUAGAGUCUUGUAGAGGGGGGUAGAAUUCCAGGUGUAGCGGUGAAAUGCGUAGAGAUCUGGAGGAAUACCGGUGGCGAAGGCGGCCCCCUGGACAAAGACUGACGCUCAGGUGCGAAAGCGUGGGGAGCAAACAGGAUUAGAUACCCUGGUAGUCCACGCCGUAAACGAUGUCGAUUUGGAGGUUGUGCCCUUGAGGCGUGGCUUCCGGAGCUAACGCGUUAAAUCGACCGCCUGGGGAGUACGGCCGCAAGGUUAAAACUCAAAUGAAUUGACGGGGGCCCGCACAAGCGGUGGAGCAUGUGGUUUAAUUCGAUGCAACGCGAAGAACCUUACCUGGUCUUGACAUCCACAGAACUUUCCAGAGAUGGAUUGGUGCCUUCGGGAACUGUGAGACAGGUGCUGCAUGGCUGUCGUCAGCUCGUGUUGUGAAAUGUUGGGUUAAGUCCCGCAACGAGCGCAACCCUUAUCCUUUGUUGCCAGCGGUUAGGCCGGGAACUCAAAGGAGACUGCCAGUGAUAAACUGGAGGAAGGUGGGGAUGACGUCAAGUCAUCAUGGCCCUUACGACCAGGGCUACACACGUGCUACAAUGGCAUAUACAAAGAGAAGCGACCUCGCGAGAGCAAGCGGACCUCAUAAAGUAUGUCGUAGUCCGGAUUGGAGUCUGCAACUCGACUCCAUGAAGUCGGAAUCGCUAGUAAUCGUAGAUCAGAAUGCUACGGUGAAUACGUUCCCGGGCCUUGUACACACCGCCCGUCACACCAUGGGAGUGGGUUGCAAAAGAAGUAGGUAGCUUAACCUUCGGGAGGGCGCUUACCACUUUGUGAUUCAUGACUGGGGUGAAGUCGUAACAAGGUAACCGUAGGGGAACCUGCGGUUGGAUCACCUCCUUA
rnacentral:rRNA from 1 species